rnacentral:ncRNA from 1 species
CAAAAGCUUGGUCCUGACUUUACUAUCAGCUACAGCCCAACUUAUACAUGCAAGUAUCCGCACCCCCGUGAGAAUGCCCUUAAUCCCCCGCCCGGGGACGAGGAGCCGGCAUCAGGCACACCUGUAAGUGGCCCAAAACGCCUUGCAACAGCCACACCCCCAAGGGAACUCAGCAGUAAUAAACAUUAAGCCAUGAGUGAAAACUUGACUUAAUUAAGGCUACCUCAGAGUCGGUAAAACUCGUGCCAGCCACCGCGGUUAUACGAGAGACUCUAGUUGAUAAAUACGGCGUAAAGGGUGGUUAGGGAUAAAAUAUAAAUAAAGUCAAACAUUCUCUAAGCCGUUAAAAGCACCUUGAGAAUAUGAAGACCUACCACGAAAGUAACUUUACUCUCUCCUGACCCCACGAAAGCUAAGAAACAAACUGGGAUUAGAUACCCCAUUAUGCUUAGCCUUAAACUUAGAUGUUAAUAAUACAAGAAGCAUCCGCCCGGGUACUACAAGCGCUAGCUUAAAACCCAAAGGACUUGACGGUGUCUCAGACCCACCUAGAGGAGCCUGUUCUAGAACCGAUAAUCCACGUUUAACCUCACCACCCCUUGUCUUCUCAGCCUAUAUACCGCCGUCGCAAGCUUACCCUAUGAAGGGUUAACAGUAAGCAAAAUGGGUAAAACCCAAAACGUCAGGUCGAGGUGUAGCCUACGGGGUGGAAAGAAAUGGGCUACAUUUUCUAUAUUAGAAUAUACGAACGGCGCCAUGAAACUGGCCCCCGAAGGUGGAUUUAGUAGUAAAAAUCAAAUAGAGAGUCAUUUUGAACCAGGCUCUGAGACGCGUACACACCGCCCGUCGCCCUCCCCAAAAUAAACCCAACAAGUAUAUAACCAGACAACCACAAAAACGGGGGAGAUAAGUCGUAACAUGGUAAGUGUACCGGAAGGUGUACUUGGAACAU